AUUUAAAUAGUUUAAUUAAAAUAUUGACUUGUGGUGUCGGAGAUGUAAUUAGUUACUUUAAAUU
rnacentral:tRNA from 1 species